AUUGAACGCUGGCGGCAGGCCUAACACAUGCAAGUCGAGCGAGCGGCGGACGGGUGAGUAAUGUCUGGGAAACUGCCUGAUGGAGGGGGAUAACUACUGGAAACGGUAGCUAAUACCGCAUACCAUCAGAUGUGCCCAGAUGGGAUUAGCUAGUAGGUGGGGUAACGGCUCACCUAGGCGACGAUCCCUAGCUGGUCUGAGAGGAUGACCAGCCACACUGGGACGGGGACACGGUCCAGAUUCCUAGGGGAGGGCGCAGGGGGGAAUAUUGCACAAUGGGCGCAAGCCGGAUGCAGCCAGGCCGCGUGUGUGAAGAAGGCCUGCGGGUGGUAAAGGAGGUGCAGCGGGGAGGCGUUAACCGCAGAAGAAGCACAGGCUAACUCCGUGCCAGCAGCCGCGGUAAUAC
rnacentral:rRNA from 1 species